rnacentral:rRNA from 1 species
UGGGGAAUCUUGCGCAAUGGGCGAAAGCCUGACGCAGCAACGCCGCGUGAGCGAAGAAGGCCUUCGGGUUGUAAAGCUCUGUCAGGGGGAAAGAAGGCACCUGGGUUAAUAGCCCAAGGGCUGACGGUACCCCCAGAGGAAGCCACGGCUAACUACGUGCCAGCAGCCGCGGUAAUACGUAGGUGGCGAGCGUUGUCCGGAAUCAUUGGGCGUAAAGAGCGCGUAGGUGGCUUUUAAGGUCUGAUGUGAAAACCUGGGGCUCAACCCCAGGCCUGCACCGGAGACCGGAUUGCUAGAAUCUGGGAGAGGAGAGUGGAAUUCCUAGUGUAGCGGUGAAAUGCGUAGAUAUCAGGAGGAACACCAGUAGCGAAGGCGGCUCUCUGGAACAGUACUGACGCUGAGGCGCGAAAGCUAGGGGAGCGAACAG